AUUGAACGCUGGCGGCGUGCCUAAUACAUGCAAGUAGAACGAGUUGCGAACGGGUGAGUAACGCGUGGUAACCUGCCUCAUAGCGGGGGAUAACUAUUGGAAACGAUAGCUAAUACCGCAUACCAUCAGAUGUGCCCCGAUGGGAUUAGCUUGUUGGGGGGGUAACGGCUCACCAAGGCGACGAUCCCUAGCUGGUCUGCGAGGAUGACCGGCCACACGGGAACUGUGACACGGUCCAGACGCCUACGGGAGGCAGCAGUGGGGAAUAGUGCACAAUGGGCGCAAGCCUGAUGCAGCCGUGCCGCGUGUAUGAAGAAGGCCUUCGGGUUGUAAAGUACUUUCAGCGGGGAGGCGUUACCCGCAGAAGAAGCACCGGCUAACUCCGUGCCAGCAGCCGCGGUAAUUC
rnacentral:rRNA from 1 species